AGAUUGAACGCUAGCGGGAUGCUUUACACAUGCAAGUCGAACGGCAGCGCGGACUUCGGUCUGGCGGCGAGUGGCGAACGGGUGAGUAAUAUAUCGGAACGUGCCCAGUAGCGGGGGAUAACUACGCGAAAGCGUGGCUAAUACCGCAUACGCCCGUACGGGGGAAAGGGGGGGAUUCUUUCGAGAACCUCUCACUAUUGGAGCGGCCGAUAUCAGAUUAGCUAGUUGGUGAGGUAAAGGCUCACCAAGGCGACGAUCUGUAGCUGGUUUGAGAGGACGACCAGCCACACUGGGACUGAGACACGGCCCAGACUCCUACGGGAGCAGCAGUGGGGAAUUUUGGACAAGUAGGGGAAACCCUGAUCCAGCCAUCCCGCGUGUGCGAUGAAGGCCUGGGUUGUAAGUACACUUUGGUCGAGGGAAGAAACGGACGCCGACCGUAACGUAACGGCGGUACGACUCGACGGUACCGU
rnacentral:rRNA from 1 species